UGGGGUAUCGCCAAGUGGUAAGGCUGCGGGUUUUGAUCCCGCCACUCGGAGGUUCGAAUCCUUCUACCCCAG
rnacentral:tRNA from 1 species